rnacentral:rRNA from 1 species
AACGUUUUCGAAAGGAACGCUAAUACCGCAUACGUCCUACGGGAGAAAGCAGGGGACCUUCGGGCCUUGCGCUAUCAGAUGAACCCUAGGUCGGAUUAGCUAGUUGGUGAGGUAAUGGCUCACCAAGGCGACGAUCCGUAACUGGUCUGAGAGGAUGAUCAGUCACACUGGAACUGAGACACGGUCCAGACUCCUACGGGAGGCACCGUGGGGAAUAUUGGACGAUGGGCGAAACACUGAUCCAAACGCGCGAUCGUGCGAUGAAGGUCUGUGGAUUGAAAGUCUUUUAGAUUGGAAAGAACUUUAAAUUGGGAAGAAGGGCAUUUAAUUAUUACCUUGCUGUUUUGACGUUACCGACAGAAUAAGCACCGGCUAACUCUGUGCCAGCAGCCGCGGUAAUACGAA